AGGGAAACGACCUGACGUUGGGAGUUUUCUCCCACUUGUUCUGUGCUGACCCAGGAAGAACUAUGAAGUGCAGACAAUAGUACUAACCACUGCGGAGUUGCUGAAAGGAUUAAAUGAACAGAUAUGUGUAAAGCUGGUGGAAAAGUGCUGGGCAAAAAAUGUUGGUGGUUAUUUGUGAAGAAUGAUGCACUGAAGAUGACAACGAUGUCUAGAUUUUAAGAACUGUUGAGAUCAUCUGCUCCAAAUUGUUUACUGAUCAGGAAAUUAAAACACAUUCAAAUUUCACUCUGUCGGGGCACUGCUGGAUGACUGCA